AUGUCUGAUCCUGAGAUGGACCGUCUCCUGAAUGAGAUGAGUGACCUUGUCGAUCAGGCUGAACAUCAAGCUCACCUCCAACAGCUCAUUAGCAUGCACCAGGAAGCAGAACCAUCCACCGGUCAGCCUUCCACCAGUAAUCCAUCCACCAGCCGGCCAUCAAAAAGCAAGCAAGAUGUUAGGUGGAUUAAGAGGGACAGUGAUGGAAACAUUAUUUACGGCAGGCCCAGAUCAUCCCGGAAACAAGCAGCAGGUCCCAGUCACAGCCAGAGUCGAAAGACUGGUGUCUCUCAUAUCAGGGCUCCUGAAACCAGUGCGGAAAUGACCAGUGACUUUCCUUCCGUUACUGCAGGUGUGUUAUUUAUUUUGACUUUACUGAUUCAAAACAGUAUGUUCAUUUAUUAUAAAAUGGCCAUUGUUCAAUGCUAUUCUCUUUUGUUAUAAUAAACUACUGUUUUUAAAUAUUUUGCAUUGUUUUAACAGAGUCCUUCCUUCAAGAGCUUAAAAGCUCACUGGGGGGGACAUACAUGAGGAUGAAACGGCACUUUAAGCCUCAACAGACUGGUCGACCCGAAGGGCUUCAUAUCAGGGUGGUGGGAGAAAGAGAGACCCCGACUGAUCAACACCAUGGUGGCUCGACAACAUUGUGGAAAUAGUCCAGCCGUUAUCUGUUGUUGUGACUGCCGAUCACACCCAUUCAUACUGUAUGUGGCCAGUGUGAUGUCAGGGUCCACCGAGGUCAAGUGUUCUACAACAGGGAUUCGAUGACAUAUGCAUUUUUUCAUCCAUUGCCUCCCACAACUUGUGUUGUGGAGAGGGUUCUAACCCAGUGUGGUAAGUUGUAGUUUUUAAAAGUCACAUUCUUAGACUUGACUGAAAAACUGAUGGAAACAUGGCUGACCCCCUCGGUACCAGACGAAGCUGUAACACCAUCUGAUAGCUUCUCUGUUAUUCGGAUGGACAGGACUGCGGAGGCCGGCAAAACAAGAGGUGGCGAGGUCUGUUUCAUGGUCAACAAUAAAUGGUGUGACCCCAGGAACA
ensembl:lncRNA